AGUGAACGCUGGCGGUAGGCCUAACACAUGCCAGUCGAACGGCAGCACAGUAAGAGCUUGCUCUUACGGGUGGCGAGUGGCGGACGGGUGAGGAAUAUAUCGGAAUCUACUUUUUCGUGGGGGAUAACGUAGGGAAACUUACGCUAAUACCGCAUACGACCUACGGGUGAAAGCAGGGGAUCUUCGGACCUUGCGCGAUUGAAUGAGCCGAUGGCGGAUUAGCUAGUUGGCGGGGUAAAGGCCCACCAAGGCGACGAUCCGUAGCUGGUCUGAGAGGAUGGGUAGCCGCCCUGGGAGUGUGACCGGGUCCAUGCGUCUACGGGGAGGAGCCAGUGGGAAACGUGGGGCAGGGGCGGGAAACUGUGCACAACGGUCCGGGGUGGGGAAGAAGGGCUUCGGGUUGGAAAGCCCUUUUGUUGGGAAAGAAAAGCAGCAGGUUAAUACCCCGCUGUUCUGACGGUACCCAAAGAAUAAGCACCGGCUAACUUCGUG
rnacentral:rRNA from 1 species